rnacentral:misc_RNA from 1 species
UAUGAGAGGAGGUAUAGAACUAAAGAAUAAAGAAGGAAAUGAGUACGCUGAGUGGAUAAUAAGUAGAUGAGAAGUUGAAUAUAUGAGAACGAAUAACCAAAUGUGAACGAAUAAGUGUAUCACAAUUAGUUGUUGUUAUAAGGGGCAGUUAUUCUGUUGAGAAGCUACUUAAUAGUAGCUAGAAGCCAUUACUAGCAGUUACCAGUGAGCUGACAACUGCUAUAUAAGGAGGAAGAUACCGUUGUAAAGAUCUAUUCCAAGAAAUAUCUGCAAUAAAUAUUUCUUCCUUCCUUCACUCUUUCUCCCAUUUUUCCUACCUAUUCUACUCCUGUUCUAUCUCUAAUUUCUUCCAAUUUCUUCAAUUUCCUUUUCAUGCUAUGUUAUGGUUCCGAAACCCUAACAGAUUGUUAACCAUCCUCUCUUGAGGAACAUAACAAAGAAUAAUCUUGAGAGUUGAAAGCCAAAAGUCUCAUCCACUUGGUUUCUUAUAUGAACAAGGUGAGAGAAUGAGUAACAACAAAUGAAAUCAAGAUAGCACCUAACCUGUAG